AGUGAACGCUGGCGGUAGGCCUAACACAUGCAAGUCGAACGGCAGCACAGUAAUAGCUUGCUCUUACGGGUGGCGAGUGGCGGACGGGUGAGGAAUACAUCGGAAUCUACUUUUUCGUGGGUGAUAACGUAGGGAAACUUACGCUAAUACCGCAUACGACCUACGGGUGAAAGCAGGGGAUCUUCGGACCUCGCGCGAUUGAAUGAGCCGAUGUCGGAUUAGCUAGUUGGCGGGGUAAAGGCCCACCAAGGCGACGAUCCGUAGCUGGUCUGAGAGGAUGAUCAGUCACACUGGAACUGAGACACGGUCCAGACUCCUACGGGAGGCAGCAGUGGGGAAUAUUGGACAAUGGGCGCAAGCCUGAUCCAGCCAUACCGCGUGGGUGAAGAAGGCCUUCGGGUUGUAAAGCCCUUUUGUUGGGAAAGAAAAGCAGCAGGUUAAUACCCCGCUGUUCUGACGGUACCAAAAGAAUAAGCACCGGCUAACUUCGUG
rnacentral:rRNA from 1 species